GACCGCUCCGGUGGUCUAGUGGUUAGAGCGUCCACCUUGGAUGCGGGAGGUCUCGGGUUCAACUCCCGGCUGAGUCA